rnacentral:rRNA from 1 species
UACGAAGGGGGCUAGCGUUGCUCGGAAUCACUGGGCGUAAAGGGUGCGUAGGCGGGUCUUUAAGUCGAGGGUGAAAUCCUGGAGCUCAACUCCAGAACUGCCUUUGAUACUGAGGAUCUUGAGUUCGGGAGAGGUGAGUGGAACUGCGAGUGUAGAGGUGAAAUUCGUAGAUAUUCGCAAGAACACCAGUGGCGAAGGCGGCUCACUGGCCCGAUACUGACGCUGAGGCACGAAAGCGUGGGGAGCAAACAGG